CAUGCAAGUCGAGCGAACAGAUAAGGAGCUUGCUCCUUUGACGUUAGCGGCGGACGGGUGAGUAACACGUGGGUAACCUACCUAUAAGACUGGAAUAACUCCGGGAAACCGGGGCUAAUGCCGGAUAACAUUUAGAACCGCAUGGUUCUAAAGUGAAAGAUGGUUUUGCUAUCACUUAUAGAUGGACCCGCGCCGUAUUAGCUAGUUGGUAAGGUAACGGCUUACCAAGGCAACGAUACGUAGCCGACCUGAGAGGGUGAUCGGCCACACUGGAACUGAGACACGGUCCAGACUCCUACGGGAGGCAGCAGUAGGGAAUCUUCCGCAAUGGGCGAAAGCCUGACGGAGCAACGCCGCGUGAGUGAUGAAGGUCUUCGGAUCGUAAAACUCUGUUAUUAGGGAAGAACAAAUGUGUAAGUAACUGUGCACGUCUUGACGGUACCUAAUCAGAAAGCCACGGCUAA
rnacentral:rRNA from 2 species